CGUUCAGUCUCCUGCUCAGGAUUGUUAGCGGUGCCAAUCGGACUGAGCCAACACAUUUUCUGGAAUUUGCCGACAAAUUUGCUAGAGAUUUCAUCGCUUGUGGAACAAUAAGAAGUGCUUGUGGCAACUGCCUUGAGGGCUCUUCACAGCUGCUUUGUCAGUGGGCCUCAGUACACUGGAGAUAAAGCUGACCAACCACAGAUCAUUCCAAAGACCUUCAUCGCUAA